GAGCCCAUGGCCCAAUGGGUUAGAGCGUUGGACUGCUAAUCAACAGGCCGCGGGUUCGAGCCUCGCUUGGUGCA
rnacentral:tRNA from 1 species